GUGCUUGCUUAGGAAGUACACAUUCUAAAAUUGUAACAAUAACAGAGAUUAGUAUGGCCUGUGGGCAAGGAUGACAUGCUAAUCCAUAUAAUUUUAAUUAUAUAU